rnacentral:rRNA from 1 species
CACGUAGGAGGCGAGCGUUGUCCGGAUUCAUUGGGCGUAAAGAGCGCGCAGGCGGCUUGACAAGUCGGGUGUGAAAUCCCGGGGCUCAACCCCGGGACUGCAUUCGAUACUGUCAGGCUAGAGGUAGGUAGGGGAGAUCGGAAUUCCUGGUGUAGCGGUGAAAUGCGCAGAUAUCAGGAGGAACACCGGUGGCGAAGGCGGAUCUCUGGGCCUUACCUGACGCUCAGGCGCGAAAGCUAGGGGAGCGGACAGG